rnacentral:rRNA from 1 species
UACGUAGGGUGCAAGCGUUAAUCGGAAUUACUGGGCGUAAAGCGUGCGCAGGCGGUUGUGCAAGACAGAUGUGAAAUCCCCGGGCUCAACCUGGGAACUGCAUUUGUGACUGCACGGCUAGAGUGCGGCAGAGGGAGAUGGAAUUCCGCGUGUAGCAGUGAAAUGCGUAGAUAUGCGGAGGAACACCGAUGGCGAAGGCAAUCUCCUGGGCCUGCACUGACGCUCAUGCACGAAAAGCGUGGGGGAGCAAACAGG